ACCCAGAUGACGAGUCCCAAAUAGGACGAAACACUUGUCCAGGAU
rnacentral:hammerhead_ribozyme from 1 species